UACGUAGGCAGCAAGCGUUGUUCGGAAUUACUGGGCGUAAAGCGAGUGUAGGCGGUCUCGUAAGUCGGGUGUGAAAGCCCUGGGCUCAACCCAGGAAGUGCACUCGAAACUGCGAGGCUAGAGUACUGGAGAGGUUGGUGGAAUUCUCGGUGUAGAGGUGAAAUUCGUAGAUAUCGAGAGGAACACCGGGUGGCGAAGGCGGCCAACUGGACAGAUACUGACGCUGAGACUCGAAAGCGUGGGGAGCAAACAGG
rnacentral:rRNA from 1 species